rnacentral:rRNA from 1 species
GACAUGAAGUUAGGUCAGCAAACCCGCUGAAUUUAAGCAUAUAAGUAAGCGGAGGAAAAGAAACUAAAUAGGAUUCCCUCAGUAAUGGCGAAUGAACAGGGACAAGCUCAGCAUGGAAAUCGGGGCCUCCGGCCUUGAAUUGUAGUCUCGAGAUGUACUGCCAACGGAGGCACAGAUGUAAGCCUCUUGGAAAAGAGCACCAAUGAGGGUGAGAGUCCCGCUUGCCAUCUGUAGUCCCCCGUGUACGGUGUGCAUUCUAAGAGUCACGUUCCUCAGGAUUGGAGCGCAAAGUGGGUGGUAAAUUUCAUCUAAAGCUGAAUAUCGGUUCGAGAACGAUAGCAAACAAGUACCAUGAGGGAAAGGUGAAAAGGACUUUGAAAAGAGAGUUAAAAGUGCCUGAAAUUGCUGAAAGGGAAGCGAAUGGAACCAGCGCGUCUUGGCGAGAUUGUUGCGUGCUAAUGCGAUUGCCUGCUGCUUCAGCGCAAGCGUGGCAGUAGGUUUUGAGCAGGACGCGCGUGGUGCUUCUUGCCUUGCGUGUCAACUUCAGUUCACACUUGAGGAAAACCUCAGGGACUUGGAAGCCUGCCCCGGGUGGGUGAAUGUGCCUGGGUGAACUCGAGAGUGUACUGCUUGGUGACGAAAUGGUYYYY